rnacentral:rRNA from 1 species
UAGGGAAUCUUCGGCAAUGGACGAAAGUCUGACCGAGCAACGCCGCGUGAGUGAAGAAGGUUUUCGGAUCGUAAAACUCUGUUGUUAGAGAAGAACAAGGGUGAGAGUAACUGUUCACCCCUUGACGGUAUCUAACCAGAAAGCCACGGCUAAAUACGUGUCAG